CUUUGCCUGCGGACAACACAGAGUCCACCAAGGAAGGGAGGGAUUCAAAGCAGACCCAAGUGUCUGGAAAAGCUGAGCUGAUAUGAACACUAAUGUAAAAGUGUUCAUCUUUUACAGCACAUCACUUUCCUACGUCAGUUGCUGAACCCGAAAAAUCCCAGGCCCAAGGAAGAAGAGGGGUGGCCCUAAGAUUAUCCAUGUUCUUCAGGGGCACACAGGAAAAUAAAAAAAAGUAAGCCUGAGACAUUAGGUAAGAAUAAAUGGCCCCAGUCCCUACAAAUAGAUGCUGAUCUAGUCCCAUUAUUUUCCCUUAAAAGGCCUUGACAGAAUGGAGAAGAUAAGUAGGCAAAGAACAUUCACUUGCCAAUAAAAAAGCUUUCAAAGAAGAAGAGAAAUGGGGCUGGACCAAAGAAUUACCCUCUAAAGACACUGGGUGAAUGAAAAGAUGAGAGGGCUUGGACCUAUUGCUUGCCAUGAAAAACAUGGACCUGAAUAAAGGAGAGAUGUGGGCCUGGUCUUAAAUCUUACCCAAUAUAGGUCUGGGCCCAAAAAGAGGUGAUAUAGGUCUGGGUCUAACGCUUACCUUGAAGAGGCCUGGGCCCAAUGAAGAAGAGAUGUGGGCCUGGGCUUUACCAUUUCCCUAAAGAGGCCUAGGACCAAUGAAAAAGAGAUGUGGGCCUGGGAAUAACACUUACCAUGAAGAGGUUUGUACCUAAAGAAGAAGAGAUACGGGUCCAGGCCUAACAAUAACCCUCAAAGGCCUAACCCAAUGAAGAGGUGAUGUAGGCCUGGGCCUAACAUAUCAAAGAGGCCUGGGCCCAAGAAAGACAUGUGGCCUGCCCUAAUCCACACACUUAAGAGGCGUGGGUCCAAUGAAAAAGGGAUGGGGGCCUGGGCCUAAUGAUUACCUGGAAGAGGUCUGAGCAAAACAAAGAAGAAAUAAGGGCCUGGGCCUUAUCCUAACUCUGAAAAGGCCUAGGCCCAAAGAAGAGAUGUGAGCCUAGGCCUAACCUGUUCCCUGAAGAGUCCUGGGCAAAUGAAGAAAAGAUGUGAGCCUGGGCCUAAUCCUUACACUGAAGAGGUCUGGGCCCAAUAAAGAAGAGAUGGGGGCUGGGCCUAACCUUUCUCCUGGAGAGGCCUGGGCCCAAAGAAGGAAUUAUGUGGACCUGGGCCUAAUUCUUUCCUUGAAGAAUCCUGGGCUCAAUGAAGAAGAGAUGUGAGUCUGGGCCUAAUCCAUAUAUUAAGAGCCCUGGGCCCAAUGAAGAAGAGAUGUGGGCCUGAGCAUAAUUCUUACCCGGAAGAGGCCUGGGCAUAAUGAAGAAGAGAUGGGGACUUGGGCAUAAACCUUACCUUGAAGAGGCCUGGGCCCAAAGAAGAAGAGAUGUGGGCCUGGGCCUAAUCCUUAACUUAAGAGGCCUGGGCCCAGUGAAGAAGAGAUGUGGGCCUGGGACUAACCCUUUCCCUGAAGAGGCCUGGGCCCAAUAAAGAAAGAUGAGGGCCUGGGACUAAUCCCUACACAGUAGAGGCCUGGGCCCAGUGAAGAAGAGAUGUGGGCCUGGGCCCAACCCUUUCCCUGAAGAGGUCUGGGCCCAAUGAAGAAGUGAUAUGGGCCUGGGCCUAAUCCUUUCCUUGAAUAGGCCUGGUCCGAUGAAGAAAAGAUGGGGGCCUGGGCCUAACCCUUUCCCUUGAAGACGCCUGGGCCCAAAGAAGGGAUAUGGGCCUGGGCCAAAACCUGUCCUUAAAGAGGCCUGGGCUCAAUGAAGAAGUGAUGUGGGCCUGGGCCUAAUCCUUUCCUUGAAGAGGCCUGGGCCCAAUGAAGAAGAGAAGUCGGCCUGGGCCUAUUACUUAUCCUGAAGAGGCCUGGGCCCAAAGAAGAAGAGAUGGGAGCCUGGGCCUAGUCCUUUCCCUGAAGAGGCCUGGGCCCAAUGAAGAAGAGAUGUGGGCCUGGGCCUAAUUCUUAUCUUGAAGAGGCCUGGGCCCAAUGAAGAAGAAAUGUGGGCCUAGACCUAAUCCUUACCCUGAAGAGGCCUGGGCCCAAAGAAGAGAUGUGGGCCUGGGCCGAAUCCUUACCCUGAAGAGGCCUGGACCCAAAGAAGCAAAAAUGUGAGCCUGGGUCUAACCCUUUUCCUGAAGAGGCCUCGGCCCAAAGAAGAAGGGCUAUGGGCCUGGGCCAAACCCUGUCCUGAAAGAGGCCUGGGCCCAAUGAACAAGUGAUGUGGGCCUGGGCUUCAUUCUUAUCCUGAAGAGGCCUGGGCCCAAUGAAGAAAAAAUGUGGGCCUGGGCCUAAUCUUUACCCUGAAGAGGCCUGGACUCAAUAAAGAAGAGAUGUGGGCCUGGGCCUAAUUCCUACACUGAAGAGCCCUGGGCCCAAUGAAAAAGAGUGUGGGCCUGGGCCCAAUCCUUUCCUUAAAAAGAGGCCUAGGCCCAAUGAAGAAAAGAUGGGGACCUGGGCCAGACCCUGUCCUGAAAGUGGCCUGGGCCCAAUGAAAAAGAGAAGUGUACCUGGGCCUAAUCCCUACACUGGAGAGGCCUGGGUCCAAUGAAAAGGAGAUGAGGACCUGGGCCUAACCCUUUCCCUAAAGAGGCCUGGGCCCAAAGAAGAAGUGAUAUGGGCCUGGGCCAAACACUGUCCUGAAAGAAGCCUGGGCCUAAUCCUUUCCUUGAAGAGUCCUGGGCCCAAUGAAGAAGAGAUGUGGACCUGGGCCUAAUCCUUAUUCUGAAGAGGCCUGGGCCCAAAGAAAAAAUAAUGGGGGUCUGGGCCUAAUCCUUUUCUUGAGGAGGCCCAGACCCAAUGAAGAAUUGAUUUGGGCCUGAACCAAACCCCUUCCUGAAGAGAAGUUUCUUUCCUUGACCCAAGGAAAGAAAAAGGGGAUCUGGGCCUAAUCUUUAUCCUGAAGAGGGCUGGGCCCGAAGAAGAAGAGAUGUGGGCCUGGGCCUAAUCUUUACCCAGAAGUGGCCUGGACCCAGUGAAGAAGAAAUUUGGGAUUGGCCUUAUCUUUACCCUGAAGAGGCCGGAGCCCAAGCAAGAAAUCAUGUGGGUCUGGGUCUAACACAUUUCCUUAAGAUCCUGGGCCCAAUGAAGAAGAGAAAUGUACCUAGACCUAAUGCUUAACCUGCAAAGGCCUGGGCCCAAAGAAGAAGAGUUGGGGUCCUGAGCCUUACCUUUUUCCUCAAGAGGCCUGGGCCCAAAUAAGAAGGGAUAUAGGUCUUGGCUAAAAUCUUACCUUGAAGAGGCCUGGGCCCAAAUAAGAAGGGAUAUAGGUCUUGGCUAAAAUCUUACCUUGAAGAGGCCUGGGCCCAAUGAACUAGAGUUGUGGGCCUGGGCCUAAUGCUUACCCUGAAGAUGUCUAGGCUCAAAAAAGAAGAGAUACGGGCCUGGGCGUAAACUGUACCCUGAAGAGGACUGGGCCCAAUUAAGAAGAGGUAAUGUCCUGGGGCUAAUCCUUAUCAUGAAGGCCCUAGGCCCUAGGAAUGAGAGAUGUGGGCCUGUGUAAUUCCCUUAAACUGAAGAUGCUUUUGCCCUGAGAAGAAUAGAUGAGGGCCUGACCCACCUCUAUCCAUAAAGAAACUUGAGCCCAUAAGAAAAAAGGAUGUUGGAUUGAGCCUUUCAAACUGAAGAACUUGGCCUUUAUAAAUAAACUUGUGACCCAUUACCUGUUCAAAAACAUGAGGACACCCAGAGCCAUAAAACGGUUUUUGGACUGGGAAAUUCACUAAGCUUAAGAAGACCUUGGCCUGAAUAAAGAAGAAAAGUUGGACUGGAUCUACACUUGUCUCUGAAGAGGUCUAGGACCCAAAAAGCAUCCUAGGCAUAGACCAAACAGAGUCCUAGGAACACUGGCCCAGAUCCAUUCUCCCCGGUCAGCCCUGGACAUAAAGAAGAGUGCCAAGGCCCAGACUGAAGCGAAUCUACCCUUUGUUUAGCCCGUGUCCCACGAGGCACACUGGGCCUAGACCUGAUUUUCAGCGAUUUUACAACCAGCUCAGUCAUCGAUGUGGACACAUCCCAGCUCGUCCAUCCAGAAUCUGGGCCUCGGCUACACUGCUCCCUUUCUGAGCAUACUGGAAGCUGAUGUGCUCAACGAAAGGUGUGCGGAUCACACCCAUGGACUUCAUGCGAUGCAGACCACACCCUCAGCCCGUGUAAGCAUGUAUGAACCACCGCCGUAAUGUGCCAUGGGCUCACGGAAAUGAUAUAUCAAUACAGACAUAGCAUACAAAAAAGAGAGUCAUACUGUGCCUGCCACUGCCUGAGGCAUGCAUAACCUUACCUUGAACUAAAAGGGAUCUUAAACUGAGAUCUUUAGGAAUGAACAGAUCUCAAAUGUAACUCACGCAACAGCCUGAGUUGGAAAUGGACGCCCCAAUAACCAGGAGACCUGGUCUCAAGCCAGGCGUCAUCUUCAUGCCAACUUUUUUGACCACACCGCAGCCUCAUCUGUGACCCAGGCCAUGCCAUGUUCACCAGGACGAUUCGAAUCUCCACCAGUGAGAGACAUCAGAUCAUAGACCAUGAACUCUGAUCAAUAAGGAGAUCGUCUGACAGCUCCUUCUGGUUCCGUUCUGUGAAGUUUGCGGGUUAUAUUCGUAAUUUUCCCAAACAGGCAAACUUCUCACAAAUGUGCCAAGGCAGCAUCGUGGCUUCGAAAUUAUCUGGACCGCACGUGAAUGUCAAACGACAGGGACACAGCUUGGAAUGGAGGGUGAGUGGGCUGCACCCAGGAAAUCCUCUGUGUCCAUGUCAAGAAGAACAGUUUGAUCUUUGGUUUGAUUUUGACAUGUACUGUUUCUUCACACUAUAACACCUUGAGUUCAUUGUCUGAAGAUUAAGAUAAGUUCAAAGACAAUUACCUGACAUCAAUGUUGGCCUGCAACCUCCCUGAUUACCAGUAAGUCAAGUCAAUGUCAAAUUUAUGGUGUAUGGGCCACUCCCUUUCUUUACAAGACCUAAUAUUUUCUGACAGUAAGAGAGCCAAGACUAGAAACCAUGACUCUAAUUUGAGAAGGACCCUCUUUCCUUAGUGAUAAAAAUAUGGUCAUAACUCAAUAUCAAGAGUGAUUACAAGGCACAUAGCCCUACCAUGACUUUAAUUGAUUUUUAUCUGAGUCUAGACUCUAUUCACCAAACAUAUGAAAUUCAGAAAUAAGGCUUCCUGAGUUGAUGACAGACUUCAAAUGGCUAGCAAUGUGGGCUGUGGCUCACUUUCCACCAAGGUACCUGUGUCAAGUUUGUAGUCUCUUCCUCAAAUCCAAGAGAUAUUCUCACCAUGGAGAGGACUCAGGAGUACAAAACAUGGCCUUCAUCAUGUAUGAUAGCCCCCAGAGACAUAAUCUGGACAAUUUUGACACGAUGGGUGUGUGGGCUGCACCCAGAAGCCAUCUUGUACCCCAUUGUCUACAAGAGAUCCAGGACAAGUGAUCAUGUUUGUGUUGGCCAACAACACAGUCAGAGAAAAAUAGAAUUACCAGAGUUGGUGUUGUGGUAUGUGACAUCAGCCUCACAAACUUCCAGACUGCGGUCCCAAUCUUCAUUUCCUGAUAUAUCAGUUUUCCUACCUUCUCAUUGCUGACUUUGUCCCUCAGCCUGACCUGAUUAGAAACAUCAAAUAAUCCAUUGGUUUAAGAUGACAUGAUCCAGGAAUACAGAUAUAACUUUAAUAAACAUGUGUAAUGGAAAACCCUGAAGUUCUUCCUAUUUGGUGGCUAUUCAAAGACUAGACAUGUGUUCCUAUGUUUCUUCACAGGAGCCCUCAUAGAAGAAGCCAGAUUUAUAACCUGAUGACUACAGAUCCCUUAUAGGUCUAAGGCCUUGUAGUAAACAGUCUUACUGUGAAUGUCAUUCCUACAUUUUGUAUAUAGUUUUGAAUAAAUAUGUAUAUGUACUAUUAUGGUUCACCUUGAA